CCUACGGGGGACAGCAGUGAGGAAUAUUGGUCAAUGGACGAGAGUCUGAACCAGCCAAGUAGCGUGAAGGAUGACUGCCCUAUGGGUUGUAAACUUCUUUUAUAUGGGAAUAAAACGUUCCACGUGUGGGAUUUUGUAUGUACCAUAUGAAUAAGGAUCGGCUAACUCCGUGCCAGCAGCCGCGGUAAUACGGAGGAUCCGAGCGUUAUCCGGAUUUAUUGGGGUUAAAGGGAGCGUAGGUGGAUUGUUAAGUCAGUUGUGAAAGUUUGCGGCUCAACCGUAAAAUUGCAGUUGAAACUGGCAGUCUUGAGUACAGUAGAGGUGGGCGGAAUUCGUGGUGUAGCGGUGAAAUGCUUAGAUAUCACGAAGAACUCCGAUUGCGAAGGCAGUUCACUGGACUGCAACUGACACUGAGGCUCGAAAGUGUGGGUAUCAAACAGGAUGAGAUACCCCUGUAGUC
rnacentral:rRNA from 1 species